UCAAGUCUUAAGAACUCCAUAACCAAUCCUUCUUCACAUCUUCAUCAAAGAUUCGGGUUUCAAGAAGGAAUUGGGGAAAAUCCACCAAAAGCAUCUUUAAGACAAUAUUAACUACUUUGGAGAUGGAGUCCAGCGUUAGUUCUUGCAGUCCGACGAACUCCCCUAGUUCGUCGGAAGGUGUAGGUCGUGGCAUGGACUACGACGUUUUUGUACAGCAGAUGAGUGGCGCCGACCCUUAUGCGCCUGGCUAUGCUCCUACAGCUCCCAAUAGCUCACCGGCAGUAAAUAGUGUUCUUCCUAUUCCUGAUGGUCCUGACGUACAGGCCACUUUUGGUUUUUACCCCAUCGAGGUGCUGGUAGGAAGUAACCCCUAGAGUUUAUAGUUUAUUAUCCUUACCCUUGGGACCCGAGUCCUCCCGAGAGUUGGGAGGAGUGGUCUAUGGUCAUAGUCGCUUCCCGGUUCCUAGACCAUAUCACAUGGUACGAAGGGGAAUGGCAUCUUGUCUGGGGUGAGUUUACGGGUCCGACGUAUCUCCAGAUCGUGUAAGCAGGAUGCACAGAAGGUCUGUAGGGGUUUAUUCCUUUUAUGUAAAUAUAUUUUGUAGCCA